rnacentral:tRNA from 1 species
UGGGGAUUCGCCAAGUGGUAAGGCAGCGGACUUUGACUCCGUUAUUCGGGGGUUCGAAUCCCUCAUCCCCAACCA